UGCCGGGCAGACCCGCCAUGUUCACGGUCACAGUGAAGAUGUCGUUGAGAUACAUCUCGAUCGGAUCGGCUUUGCCCUUCUCGCCGAUACCGAAUGCCGCCGAUGGUGUCGCCGGCGUCAGGAUNNNNNNNNNCCUUUCGCGAACACGUCCUCGAAGUCCUUCUUGAUCAGGGUGCGGACCUUCUGCGCGCGCAGAUAGUACGCGUCAUAAUAUCCGGCCGAGAGCACGUAAGUACCGAUCAUGACACGGCGGCGAACCUCCGCGCCGAACCCCUCUGCGCGGGUGUUCUCGUACAUCUCGACAAUGUUCUUGCCGUUG
rnacentral:misc_RNA from 1 species